rnacentral:rRNA from 1 species
UACGUAGGGUGCAAGCGUUGUCCGGAAUUAUUGGGCGUAAAGAGCUCGUAGGCGGUUCGGUAAGUCGGGUGUGAAAACUUUGGGCUCAACCCAAAGCCUGCACUCGAUACUGCUGUGACUUGAGUCCGGUAGGGGAGUGGGGAAUUCCUGGUGUAGCGGUGGAAUGCGCAGAUAUCAGGAGGAACACCGGUGGCGAAGGCGCCACUCUGGGCCGGUACUGACGCUGAGGAGCGAAAGCGUGGGGAGCGAACAGG